CAUGCAAGUCGAACGAAGUAGCAAUACUUAGUGGCAGACGGGUGAGUAACAUGUAGGUAUCUGCCCUUUGGCCUGGAAUAACACGAGGAAACUUGUGCUAAUACCGGAUAAGUCUUUACGGAGAAAGCUUUAUGCACCAUUGGAUGAGCCUGCACUUGAUUAGUUUGUUGGUGGGGUAAUGGCCUACCAAGACUGUGAUCAAUAGCUGAUUUGAGAGGAUGAUCAGCCACAUUGGGACUGAGACACGGCCCAAACUCCUACGGGAGGCAGCAGUGGGGAAUCUUGCACAAUGGAGGAAACUCUGAUGCAGCGAUGCCGCGUGAGUGAAGAAGGCCCUUGGGUUGUAAAGCUCUUUCGUCGGGGAAGAAAAUGACUGUACCCGAAUAAGAAGGUCCGGCUAACUUCGUGCCAGCAGCCGCGGUAAUACGAAGGGACCUAGCGUAGUUCGGAAUUACUGGGCUUAAAGAGUUCGUAGGUGGUUGAAAAAGUUAGUGGUGAAAUCCCAGAGCUUAACUCUGGAACUGCCAUUAAAACUUUUCAGCUAGAGUAUGAUAGAGGAAAGCAGAAUUUCUAGUGUAGAGGUGAAAUUCGUAGAUAUUA
rnacentral:rRNA from 1 species